UACGUAGGGUGCAAGCGUUAAUCGGAAUUACUGGGCGUAAAGCGUGCGCAGGCGGUUUUGUAAGUCUGUCGUGAAAUCCCCGGGCUUAACCUGGGAAUUGCGAUGGAGACUGCAAGGCUAGAAUCUGGCAGAGGGGGGUAGAAUUCCGCGUGUAGCAGUGAAAUGCGUAGAGAUGCGGAGGAACACCGAUGGCGAAGGCAGCCCCCUGGGCUGACACUGACGCUGAGGCACGAAAGCGUGGGGAGCAAACAGG
rnacentral:rRNA from 1 species